UCGGGAAUUUUGGGCAAUGGGCGAAAGCCUGACCCAGCAACGCCGCGUGAGGGAUGAAGUAUUUCGGUAUGUAAACCUCGAAAGAAUGGGAAGAAUAAAUGACGGUACCAUUUAUAAGCUCCGGCUAACUACGUGCCAGCAGCCGCGGUAAUACGUAGGGAGCAAGCGUUGUUCGGAUUUACUGGGCGUAAAGGGCGCGUAGGCGGCGCGGUAAGUCACUUGUGAAAUCUCUGAGCUUAACUCAGAACGGCCAAGUGAUACUGCUGUGCUAGAGUGCGGAAGAGGCAACCGGAAUUCUUGGUGUAGCGGUGAAAUGCGUAGAUAUCAAGAGGAACACCUGAGGCGAAGGCGAGUUGCUGGGCCGACACUGACGCUGAUGCGCGAAAGCCAGGGGAGCAAACG
rnacentral:rRNA from 1 species